rnacentral:lncRNA from 1 species
AAAAUAGAAUUCACUUCAUAAGAGAGUAAAUCAAUUAAUACUUAUUUGAUGACUUGAAGAGGCAGUGUUUUUAAAAUUCAAAACAGAAGCAAUUAAAUAAAAAAGAGUAACUGCUUCAUUGAUCCACAACAAAUUAACAGAAUCUACAAUGCACAAAGCCUCAUUUUACAAUAGAAAUUAAGUAGAGCAUAGGAUUUAAUCCAAGUUCAGGUGCUUGACUCCCAUGAGGAGCAGGGAAGAGGUAGCUCAGCUACCUAGAUCUGUGUCUCUCCCCCGAUGCAGGGCAGCAGGAAGUCAGCCAUGCCUAGAAUAGAGCAGAAAUGAGAGCCCUAGGGAAACCCACUAGAAGAAGGGGAGCCUUUUCCUUAUCAAUCAGGAGUUGGCUGUGAAUGGGUACAGCUGAAUAUUGUUUACCCUUAGCUUCAUAUGCUCUAAUCAGAAGCUCCAGGCUUCCUUUCUCUCUAUUAAAAGUUGCAGGUAUUUCAACGAUCAAUUACUUUCAAACAAUUAAUAACUUUUGUCAACAAAUUCUGAACCAUUCAGUUUCCAUUGGUGGGAGACACUUCAAAGGAUAUGCAUGAAUAGUACCUAUCUUUUCAUACAUAUAUCAGUGGUACAUACAUGUACCAGUGAUAAGCCAAACCUGGACCUGGCAAUGAGAGAUAAGUUUGUCACAUAAACACAGAGAAUAUUUAAGACUUGGAUUCAGAUAGAACAACUAUAUAAUCCAGCAAUCCGUCUACUGAGUACAUAUCUAAAGAAACUGAAAUCAGUAUACAAGAGAGAUGUCUACAUUUCCAUGUUUUUUGCAACACUGUUCACAAGGGGCAAGAUAUGGAAUCAAACUAGUGUACAUCAACAGAUAAUGAAUAUGUCUGUACAAUGAAAUAUUUUUCCGUCAUAAAAAGAAUGACAUUUUGUCAUUUUCAACAUUGUGGAUGGAACCGGAGGACAUUAUGCCAAGUGAAAUGAGGCAGACACAGAAAGAUAAAUACUGCAUGUUCUCACUUAUGUGUGGAAGCUAAAAAGCUUGACCUCAUAAAGAGAACAGAAUAGUGGUUACCAAAGCCCGAGAAGGGUACAGAGGAUAGAGGAUGGAAAAGAGUACAGGGGACUGGGGUGCAGUAGGAUAGGAGGGAUGACUUCUAACGUUCACAGUAGGAUUACAGUUGUUGACAACCAUUGAUUGUAUCCCAGGACAAAGAAAUGAUAAAUGUCUGAGGUAUUAGAUAUGCCGAUUACCCUGAUCUGAUCAGUAUACAUUGGAUACACAUAGUGUUCCCUAUAAAUAUAUACAAUUAUUAUGUGCCAACUAAACACAAAACAUAUAUCCUUUAAAAGACAGAUUCAGGAGCAUAGCUCCAGUAGACUGAGUUCAAGGGUAGGGUCCAUGCUUUGUUCAUCUCUGAGUUCUCAUUUUAGCAUCUGGAACAGUGCUUUGCAGAUUUGCACACAUGGGCAGAACUGAAGGCAGGAGAGCUGAAGAAGGAGUGAGCUGCUAUUGCGCCUCCCAGGGCUGCCAGUCAUAUCACGCCUAACUCCUUAGCUAGACAGUUCACAUGUCCAGCCUCCAGCUCCAAUUCCAUUGUCUAGUUUUGUCUCCCAAGGUUUUUCUUUUAAUAGAGUAAAAUAGAGUACACACUGGGAGUUAUAAUAUUUCUGUAUGGUAAGUGCAAACUUCAGUUCACACCUGAAAUAUAUCCCCCAAAGUGAAUAGUAUCUUUUUAAUUUUUUGGUAUCUGGGAUUAAACUAGGGGUGCUUAACCACUGAGCCACAUACCCGACCUCUUUUGUAUUUUAUUUAGAGACAGGGUCUCUCUGAGUUGCUUAGGGCCUCGCUAAGUUGCUGAAGCUGGUUUCAAACUCAUGAUCUUCCUGCCUCAGCCUCCUGAGCCACUGGAAUUUAGGGAUAUGCCACUGUGUCCCGCUGAAUAGUAUCUCUAAAAUUAAUUUUUUUCAAUUUUUUUCUUUUAAACUAAAGCAUGGUCAAUAAAAUAAAAUAUUACAUAAAUGGAAUGAUUUCAUAAUUGCCAAAAAAUGACCUUUUGCAGGUGUUUUGAUUUUAUAAAAUUC